ACCUUUUACCAAGGGCUUUGGGGGUUUUUUUGUUUUGUUUUUCUUUAUGAUAGUCUUCGUACUAUAAAAAUAUUUUCAAUGAGCAGCUUCAAUAUAGCAUCGUUCAGAAAAGCAGGUUUCCCCAUUGGGCUCUCAGAGAGAGGGUGAGUCUGCAGGAAGCUGGAGCCCAUUUGCUGGAGGUUCCAGACACGCGUCUGCAUUUGUAUGUGUUUGACCCACCUGAAAGGUAGGAGAGCUCAGUUCGGAUCAUUGCCGUGUUGUCUAUACCACCUCCUUGUUUUCCCAAACCAAAACGCAGAUCCUGAUGUAGCAUUUUCUCCUGAUUUGAGGUCUUACCAAUGUGUAUACGUUAAAUUCCACUCAAGACAGUUUCUUUACUGAAAAGGUAUGAAAUUACGUGAGAAGAAGUACAAAUUUCAGGCCCCUAGAAUCUGUCUAUUAAUAUAACAUUUGAAUUUCUGGGAAAUCUGGGGCACACAUUCUUUACAGAUGCAUGCCACCACGCCCAGCUAAUUUUUUGUAUUUUUAGUAGAAACGAGGUUUCACCACGUUGGCCAGGCUGGUCUCAAACUCCUGACCUCAAAUGAUCCACCUGCCUCGUCCUCCCAAGUGCUGGAAUUACAGGUGUGAGCCGCACCAGCCUGUUUUUUAAUUUUAUUUAGAGACAGGGUCUCACUCUGUUGCCCAGACUGGAGUGCAGUGGUGUAAUCUUGGCUCACUGCAGCCUCAACUUCCAGCGCUAAAGCAAUCCUCCCACCUCUGCCUCCCGAGUAACUGGGACUACACACGCAUGCCACUACACCCAGGUAAUUUUUAAAAAUUUUUUUUAGAGACAGAGCUUCUCCAUGUUGCCCAGGCUAGCCUCAAACUCCUGGGCUCCAGUGACCCUCCCGCCUUAGUGUCUCAAAGUGCUGGGAUUACAGGUAUGAGCCACCACGCCCGGUCAGAAGCUGUGUUUUUAAGUGGACAUACCAUCUUGUCCUGCUGAAGUAUCUCCAUGUAAUCACAAUAUCUAUGUCACCCAAAUCUCCUCCUUCCUCCUCCCUCCCCCAAAACACCCCCACAGGCAUGCAUACCCUCCCAUGCGCUGGAGGCAGAAUCUCCCAAGGGGAGCUGGCCAGGAGAGGUGUCCCUGAGUUCAGAUGGAGGUGGAAGCCAGAGUGGGGCUGGGACCACCCAGUGACAUGAGGAUGGGGCUUGGGAUAAAGCCCUGGGGACACUGACAUUUAAAGUGUGGACAGAAGGAGCUACUGAAGGCAAUGGAUUUAGAAAAGCAAUUGAGUAUGAUUUCCUUCUUCAAGAAA
rnacentral:lncRNA from 1 species